rnacentral:rRNA from 1 species
CCCUUAGAUGUUCUGGGCCGCACGCGUGCUACACUGAUGCAUUCAACGAGUCUAAAACCUGGUCUGAUAGGGCUGGGUAAUCUUUUGAAAGUGCAUCGUGAUUGGGAUAGAUGAUUGCAAUUCUUCAUCUUCAACGAGGAAUGCCUAGUAAACGCAAGUCAUCAGCUUGCAUUGAUUACGUCCCUGCCCUUUGUACACACCGCCCGUCGCUCCUACCGAUUGAAUGAUCCGAUGAAUACCAUGGAUUGAGAGUACGAAUAGGUUCGCUUAUUUCUGCUUCUCGAGUAGUGGAGUAAAUCUUAUCAUUUAGAGGAAGGAGAAGUCGUAACA